AGUUCGACUGGAACACCUGACUGAACGCUGGCGGGAUGCUUACAUGCAAGUCGAACGGCAGCACGGACUUCGGUCUGGUGGCGAGUGGCGAACGGGUGAGUAGCCGUAUUGGAACGUGCUUAUAGUACGAUAACCAUGGCGAAAGGUAGUCAAUACCGCAUAUUGCCCUUCGGGAAAGCGGGGGACCUUCGGGCCCCGUACUAUUAGAGCGGUCACGUUAUCGGAUUAGCUAGUUGGUGGGGUAACGGCUCACUCAACGACGAUCCGUAGCUGGUUCGAGAGGACGACCAGCCACACUGGGAUAUCCGAGGACAUCACCCAGACUCCUACGGGAGGCAGCAGUGGGGAAUUUUGACAAUGGGGUACAACCUGAUCCAGCCAUCCUGCCGCAAGACAGCACGUCUUCGGGUUGUAAAGCACUUUUGCAGGAAGAAACGGCACGGGAUAAUACCCUGCACGCAACUGACGGUACCCGUGAUAAUAAGCACCGGCUAACUACGCCAGCAAUGCAAUAUUAGCUGGUGCAAGCGUUAAUCGUGGAAUUACUGGGCGAAGCGUGUGCAGGCGGCUCAAAAAAGAAAGAUGGAACCCUAGAUGAAUCUGAACCGUACUAACUGGGAGCCAGAUGCUGGUGGAGGUGGAAUUCCGUGUAGCAGUGAAAUGCGCGAAGAGAUAUGCGCGGAGGAACACCGAUGGCGAAGGUCGCUUCCUGAGCCAACACUGAUGUUAUCGCCACACGGAGCAAACAGGAUUAGAUGCCCACCGGUAGUCCACGCCCUGCACAAAACGAUGUCAAUUUAGCUGUUAAACCGGGCCGGUAGCAGUCAACGCCGUGGUUGACUCGCCUGGGGAGUACGGUCGAUUAAAACUCAAAGGAAUUGACGGGGACCUGUCGCAAGCCUGUGGAUGAUGUGGAUUAAUCGAUGGCAACGCGAAAACCUUGGUCCACCCGACACAUGUCUGGAAUCCCGAAGAGAUUUGGAAGUGCUGCAAGAGAACCGGAACACAGGUGCUGUACAUACGUCAGGCUCGUGUCGUGAGAUGUUGGGUUAAGUCCCAUCGAGUCGCCGUCUUCUUGUCAUUAGUUGCCAGCGAAAGGGCACUCUCAUCGAGACUGCUGCGACAAACCGGAGAAGGUGGGGAUGACGUCAAGUCCUCAUGGCCCUUAUGGUAGGGUCACGCCAUACAAUGGUCAGACAGAGGGUCGCCAACCUGCCAGGAGCCAAUCCAGAAACCCGAUCGUAGUCCGGAUCAGUCUAAAUCCUGACCUGGUGGUCGGACUGCUAGUAAUCAGGAUCAGCAUGUCGCGGUGAAUACGUUCCCGGGGUCUUGUACACACCGCUGUCACACCAUGGGAGUGGUUUUAUCAGAAGUAGUUAGCCUAAUCCGUAAGGAGGGCGAUUACCACGGUAGGAUCUAUGACUGGGGUAAGCCGUAACAAGGUGAA
rnacentral:rRNA from 1 species